rnacentral:tRNA from 1 species
AAGGGUAUAGCUCAGUAGUAGAGUGCGUGCUUAGUAUGCACAAGAUCCUGGGUUCAAUCCCCAGUGCCUCCA